CAUUACUGUAAAGCAGGAAGGUGGACGUGUGUCUCCGCUCCGCCUGGGAGUUCCUGGGACACCUGUUGAGAUUUGCUCCCGGUGCUCCUUUAAAAUGCUGGGUACCCAGACAAUGAUUGUUCUGGAAGCCAAUAGAAGAGGUGAACAACAUCCGUAUCACAUAAAGUAUUGACUUAUGUGAGCUGGCAAAAGAUGUACUUCUGUUUAUUGUUAGAUAUAUAAAAUAUGAGAAGAUAGCUGUUAGAGCAUUCAAAUACUGAAUUGCAAAUUUACAAAGUUAACAAAUGAACAAAUCCACAAGGGCUGUGACGAGGAUUUGAACCUACGUCCGAUAUCAUCCCAGACGCUGCCUUAAUUGACUGAGCUACAACAUGGUCAAAAGAGUUGAAAUCAGAAGUUGUACCUAACUUACUUGGAUCCUGCAGCCUCUACGAGAGAGAAACCAUGGUUUUACACAACUCCCCCAAUGCACUCGAGCUAUGUCAAAGACGAAGUUAACAUUUUCGCUGGCGCGGCGGGGCACCCAAAUCGCACCGGAAAGUAGGCUGCGGAUUCCUGCAGGAAGGUGCUGAUCCAGCAAGUUCUCCCAUCAAAUGGACGCUGAGCAGCCAUAUUGUCGAUCAUAUGUUGAGGACUUCAUAUUCUACCUGCCAGCUAAGCUCUUAAGUUAUAAAUAGUUUAGACAGUCCAGUGAUCAUAUAUAAAUUAGACAAAUUUAAAUAGAAACAAACUGGUUUACCCAGGGAAAUCAAUUUAAUAUCUAAAUCAAAUCUGAGACUACGCUCAACAAGCUGGAUGGUCUAAAUAUCAGUUACAUUAGGCUAACUCAAUUUAAUUUGUAUGGAAACUAAACAAAAUAUAAUUCUUCAUACAGUCCACCCUCUACCAAUUAAAGAGACAAUAAUUAUUUCUCCACAACUGAUUCAAUUUUCCUUUUGUGCUUCAUGAGAUGCAGGUUCGAUGUUGGUGCUGCAUUUUCGAGAAUGUAGAUUUUAAAUCCUGUUUAUUUUAUUAAAUACUGUUCCUAUGUUUGUCAACAUUAAUUAUGCUACUUACAUUUACAAUAUCCUGUUCACAUGAGCUUCUAGUAAUAUUAUUGGGAUUAUAUCCACUCCCAUGUCUGUUUCUCUUGUAUCUUGUACAGUGGAACCUCGGUUGACAAAUGCCCAUCUUUACGAAUUUUUCGAUUUACGAGCUAAAUUUUUUCGUAAAAUUCGACUCGGUAUACGAGCUUUGCCUCGCUUGCUGAAUUUUUUAUACACGUAUCUUAUAGAUUUUUAUACACAUAUUUAGGGAGCCGGACGGCCGAGCGGACAGCACGCUGGACUUAUGAUCAUGUGGUCCUGGGUUCGAUCCCAGGCGCCGGCAAGAAACAAUGGGCAGUUUCUUUCACCCUAUGCCCCUGUUACCUAGCAGUAAAAUAGGUACCUGGCUGUUAGUCAGCUGUCACGGGCUGCUUCCUGGGGGUGGAGGCCUGGUCGAGGACCGGGCCGCAGGGACACUAAAGCCCCGAAAUUAUCUCAAGAUACUCAAGAAGAGUAUGGGCUGACUGAGCGCAUAGUGCACUUCAGUUUACCAGUGUCUCCCACCUAGUGAUGACCACGCUUGAAUUCUUUGUGAAGAAUUUCAUUGUCUUUUGUGCAUUUUUGGUUUCUGAACAUAAAAGUUCUUAUAUAUUUCGCCAUGGUCUCUGAGAGCAUUUCAGAGACCAUCAUUUAUGAAACAGCAAGGCUAUUGCAGAAGAUCUAAUAAAGAAAACCCCUGGAACAAGUGAUACAGAUAUGAAAGCAUUUAAAGCAAGCAGGGGAUGGAUUGAGAAAUUGAGAAAUGUCUAUAGACAGAUUCUUAGUAAGACAAGCAAGCAGUGAGCCACUAAAAGGUCCUAAUGGUAUGCCUGCAAAACAUAGGAGAGAGUACCUCUGAAAUGUCAUCAGUGUCUGAUGUUAUAAUGGAAUGGGACUCCCCCUUCCAAACACUAACACCUCUCCUCCUUCCCUAGAAACACAAACCGUAACUUUCUCUAUUUUCUGCUUGUUACAACUUGUAAUAAAGAUGUUACAU